GAUCCUCUGCGGUGUUCGUGACAGUCGGCAUUUUUGGAGAACCGAUGCCGUGACCCGCACGAGGCCAAACGUCAUCGGUCUGGCGCUCGCAAGCCCACCACGCGUGGGAUCCGAAACCCAGACCUGAGGCCUCCAUUGUGACGAUGCGGGUUCUCAAAAAGCCAGCUGUACGGCACCCGCGGAGGAUUU
rnacentral:other from 1 species